rnacentral:rRNA from 1 species
AAGAAUGAGCCUGCGAGUCAGCGGCAUGUCGCGAGGUUAACCCGUGUGGGGUAGCCGUAGGGAAACCGAAUCCUAAUGGGGUGUUUAGUGGCAUGUCCUGGACCCGAAGCGGGGUGAUCUACCCAUGGCCAGUGUGAAGCAGCAGUAAGGUGCUGUGGAGGCGCGAACCCACGUAGGUUGAAAACUGCGGGGAUGAGCUGUGGGUAGGGGUGAAAGGCCAAUCAAACUCCGUGAUAGCUGGUUCUCCCCGAAAUGCAUUUAGGUGCAGCGUCGCAUUAGCUUGGUGGAGGUAGAGCUACUGGUUGGUUGAGCGGGACUACAAUCUUAGCAAUGUCAGCCAAACUCCGAAUGCCAUUAAUGUGUUGUGCGGCAGUGAGACUGUGGGGGAUAAGCUUCAUAGUCGAGAGGGAAACAGCCCAGAUCGCCGGUUAAGGCCCCUAAGGGUGUGCUAAGUGGAAAAGGAUGUGGGAUCGCGAAGACAGCCAGGAGGUUGGCUUAGAAGCAGCCAUCCUUGAAAGAGUGCGUAAUAGCUCACUGGUCGAGUGGUUCUGCGCCGACAAUGUAGUGGGGCUCAAGCACACCGCCGAAGCCGCGGCAAUAAUAUUUUGUUAUUGGGUAGGGGAGCGUCGUGCACGUGUUGAAGCGUUACCGUGAGGAGGCGUGGAGUGUGUGCGAGUGAGAAUGCAGGCAUGAGUAACGAAUUGGAAGGUGAGAAUCCUUCCCGCCGGAUGACUAAGGGUUCCUGGGUCAAGUUCGUCUUCCCAGGGUGAGUCGGGACCUAAGGCGAGGCCGACAGGCGUAGUCGAUGGAUAACCAGUUGAUAUUCUGGUACCCGAGUAUAUGCGCCCCUGAUAAAGCACUGAUACUAACCACCGUAAGCUGUUGUGAUUGACCCUUUGGGGUUAACAUGGUGGCAAGCCGUGGGGCCUGAUGUGUGGUUCAAGCGAUGGGGU